UAAUUAUAAUUUCUGAAGCUUCUCUUCUUCCUUUCCCACAUGUCAAGAUCUCAUAGCAACAAACAGUACUAGGAAGACAACCCCCUACCUUCUUCAGAGGGCUCCAUUUGCAUGUGAAGGAGAGAGUCCUCCCCUGCCCUGCAUGAGAUGCCCCAGCAAGAAGCACAGUCUCCUUCAGCUCUCUGCAGAGGGACUCUCCUGGGCCCACAGAAAGGGCAAAGAGAAGCACACAGAUACUACAAAGAUAAGCAGGGUUUGAGAAGCACCCCAUCAAGAUGCCGUCCCACCUGAUGAAAAGGUAAAACAACUGUAUUAUCAAAUAUGCCUGUCUCAAGCUCUCUA
rnacentral:lncRNA from 14 species